rnacentral:lncRNA from 1 species
AUGGUGGCGGGUCCACCGACGACGGCACGACUAGGAGCAGCAGCGGCGGCCCGGGCCAUUGUCUGCCAAGGGAAGGAAACUACCAAUCAACCUUCCAGGGGUUUCCCGACACCAAACUUUGAUGUAGGAAAACAUGAUGAAUGGGCAGACACAAGUCUUAAUGGAUCCCAGGAAUCAAAACCAGAGAGGGAUUUUGUUUUGAAGCCCCAUGACAAUAAUUUUGUACUGGAAUCUGAGCACAAUCCUGGAGAUCUUCUGUUUGAAAUAAGUUUUGGUAUAGAAAACAAAGGAUGGAGCUCUCCCACUGGAAGUGAGUUGGAAAAAGCUCUCAUAGACUCUAUUAAGAGUCAGGUGCAAGAGAAAGUGAAACUCCUCUCAAUCAAAGUCAAGGAAGUCAAGUUAAAGGAAAUUAUAAGGAACGAAGAAACUGAAACUGAUAGACAAAAUGGUCCAAACCUGAUAUUCAUGUUCUGGCUCCAUCUAACACCAGAAGAAAAGAAUAUAUCUCACUUAUUGCAUUUGCAACUGGAAGACCUUGGUGGAGCAUCUGUGGAACUUGGCAAGGUUCAGACAGUUGUGGUGAGAGAUGUGAAUGAAUGCAGCUCUGGGAUUGGGCUAUGUGGUGACAAGGCAAUCUGUCACAAUGGAUAUGGUAAUAUAUAUGUCAAUGUAAAGAAGGUUAUGAGGAUCGUUCUCCAAAAAAUUCAGGAACCCUGUGCUUUCAUAAUCCACAGACAGGCAUUAGCUCCUUGUUCCGCUAUACCGAGAUUCUUGUAGGUACCACUGUUUUUUUCAUCUGUGCUCUUGUAGUGGUGAUCAGUGUGCUGUGCAGCAUAGUAAAAAAUAAAUUUACUAAGAAGGACUUGCACUUUCAAGAGGCUGCUUUGCCUGGGACAUCGACAUCAUUUGAUCAGAAUAACAUCCACCCUCUCCUUAGUCUAGA